UUUGAGAAAAGGGGGUAGCAAUUUAUAAAACUCUGUUCCCUAACAUAGAAUCGAAAGCGUUGAUGAAUCCCUUUCUGGUUGUGGCACAACUUUUUUGCUUCAUUUUUCUUUUAAAUAAAAUUUAAAGAACACACCAAAUUUAUGCUUCUAUUAUCCUUCCUUUGUUCGGUACUCACCUCCCUGUAUCUUCAAAUUGAUGCUUUUCAAUUUAUUCUUAUUUUUCGCUGUAAGUUGUUUGCUCCCUCCCGCUUCUCUUAUUUUGGAAUCCUUCAUUUUUCCCCUUUUUCUCAGCUUUCAACUUCGUGAGCUUGAAAUCGCGGAGGCAGAGAAGACUAAGGGUUUGUGGUUAGUGGCGACACAGAGGAGUAGGCAACGUGGAAAGAGUCCUUGCUUAUCUCACACAGGUACUGCAAAUUUUUUAUUAUGAAAAAAAAAGGAAUAUAGAGUGAACUACAUCUAGUAAGUUAAUUUGUUAUUCGACUUACGAGAAUAAUUGCAUUUUCCCAUCCCUGUAUUUGUAGUUCUUUUUUUAUUUGACAAGUUUUGAGUAAUGAAAUUUAUGUAUGGUUUGAAGUGAUGAAACAUUAUAGACAAGUUAAGGAUUAUAAAUUGAAAAUAAUUUAAGAAUGGGACCUAGAUCACGAAUAGUGGCUCGAACGAUGUAGCCACACUCCAUGAUUCUCAUAACAAGCCAUAAAUCGAUGAAAUCAUAAGCUUCGGUGACAUAAGAUCAGUUUAUUGAGUGACCCAACAAAGGUACUUGGAAAUUUGUAUUUUUUACUUUAUGUAUUAAGUGUUAUGUUUUCUCUCUCACACAAAAUGUUUGUUGAACCAAGUGGUGUUCAAGCUUUGAAGAAUCCAAACCCUUUGAAGGAUGUUGAAGGCUAGGUUGUGCUUGUUAUUGUUGAGCUGUCUUAGAUAGGAUAUGGGAUAGAUUGAGUAUUGUAAUCCACUCAUUGAUUGAAUCCAAAGCAUAGGCAUUCUCAAUCUUUUUAAAAGAAAAGUGUUUUUCAAACUAAGUGAAAAACAACCGAUUGUUUUGUCGAAACAACCGAUUGUUUUAUACUUAUAAGUUUUUAUAAAAGGUUGAAAAUUGUUUUUCAAAUGGUUGAGCUGUUAAAACAAAAACAACCAAUUGAUUUGAGGAAACAACCGAUUGUUUGUUUUGGUACCAUAACAGAAAAAUGGUUUGUGCUUUGACUGAGCAUUAAAUGAUUCUAACUGUUUACACUCCAGUUUUUAAUGCUUUGAUCAAUCUUUAAAGGCAAUUAAUAGUUUAUUAAGAUUUGAUAACAAACAUCAACUUUGAUAUAAAAUAGUAAAACAUAUUUGGGUUUUACAAGAACACAAAUUUUGAGUUUUUGAAAAGUUGAGAUUGCUUAGAAAUUGAGAUUGAUCAAAGAGUGUGAGCUAGGAUUUUCUCUUGUAUUGAUUUCAGAUUUUCUUCUGUAACAAGUGUAAUCCUUGUAUCUGUUGAAAGAAACCUUUGUGUGUUUGCUGAGAAGUGUUGUGUGUUCUUAAGGGGAUCAAGAUCAGCAUUCUUAGUGUUGGUGUGUUGACCAAGAGAAGUGUGUGUCUUGAGGGGAUCAAGGUCACUUCUUUGGUUGUGGUGUAAGUGAUCUAGGUUUGAUUGCUUAGUGGAAUUCCUCAG
rnacentral:lncRNA from 1 species